GAUGAACGCUGGCGGCGUGCCUAACACAUGCAAGUCGAGCGAGAAAUAAAGAAAUGAAGCUUCGGUAGAUUUUCUUUAUGGAAAGCGGCGGACGGGUGAGUAACGCGUAGGCAACCUGCCCUGUACAGGGGGAUAGCCACCCGAAAAGGUGAUUAAUACCCCAUAACGCAAGAGAUACACAUGUAUCACUUGUCAAAGAUUUAUCGGUAUAGGAUGGGCCUGCGUCUGAUUAGCUAGUUGGUAAGGUAACGGCUUACCAAGGCAACGAUCAGUAGCCGACCUGAGAGGGUGAUCGGCCACAUUGGAACUGAGACACGGUCCAAACUCCUACGGGAGGCAGCAGUGGGGAAUAUUGCACAAUGGGCGCAAGCCUGAUGCAGCAACGCCGCGUGAAGGAUGAAGGCCUUCGGGUUGUAAACUUCUGUCCUAGGGGAAGAAACAAAUGACAUUACCCU
rnacentral:rRNA from 1 species